AUCCGGUUCGUUCAAUCCGGAGCCCCCGCUAAUCCCAAACGGCUCCGCAGCGGAUUGAGCGUGCGCGGCUCGGCUCGGCGGCUCUCAACCCAAGCGACAGGGCAGCCAGAAGCGGAUGCCAAAUCCUCUCGCCCGCCAUCUGCGACCCCCCAAAUUGCGCAGCUUCCCUGUUGACCAUCACCAACCCCGAAGGCCCGAACCCAAUCGCCGGCUUCCUCGCUGCCAGACGCGCGACGCCGGAGACGAUGCAAUCCCGGCCACAUCCCCAGCUUCGAAUCGACUCGUCCUCAUCCAUGGCCAUCCGACCAGCUCCGCUGCUCCAUUCGCCCUUGGCACGCCAUGUCGCCAUCCAUCCCGUGGCUCCAGGUCGUCCAGAUUAACUACGGGUGUGAACCGUGUGAUGCUGGUGCACACUCUGUGUUUGAGUAAAUGCCCCAACGAAUCUGAAGACCCGCGCAGGCUGAACAUCGCUGUUCGUUUUUCUGUGGUCUGUGCAGAUCAGCAAAGGAUGCGUUGAGAAUGCGUGCGUUUAUGCGAAACUCUGAAAAAUAUAUUGAAUGUGAAGGAUUGGGUAUAAAUAAUUUGAUUUUUAAUAGAGGCUGUGAUUUUUCUAGAGCAAGUAAUAUUGUGAAUGAAAAGUCACUUUUAUAGACAAAAUAAAAUAAAAAGGCA